AAGCGUUCCUAACCCUAAUUCUAAUGAAACGAGGAGAUGGAUAUCGAUGGCGGUGACGCCUGAGCUUCUCCAUACGCCAUCUUCCAUCUAAACACACACUUCAUUUUUAUUCAGACCCAGAAUCUGAAACUGAGGCUGCUUCUUAUUCUUCGAUUACUUGCCACUUUGAGGUCCUUUUGUAACUCAUGAUUUAAUUGAGUGUGCGGCAUGUCACGAAAGUGAAUGAGCAAGCGCAGUGGAGAGAGACAGAUCAAGCGGGCGGAGUGCGAUGGAUUGCUGGCGGCGGAACAAGCGGCGUUGAGCUGAUGGAGCAAGUCACGGAGAGAGCGAGAUGGAAAUCCUUGGAACAAACGACAGAGAGUGUGACAAGAGAUAGCAAAGAUAAUUGAUGCAGUUCAAGCUGUCACAGGGAAGGUCAAUAGGCUCUCGGACAGGAUAGGUUCUUGCUUUCGAAGUUUCUGUAUAUGGAGGGGUGAAGGUUUCGGGAAUCAAACCAAAUUCGAGAGCAGAAUUUACGAAAAUCUUAUAGGAGUUCAAAUUAUGGCUUAGUAGCCUCACAGAAGAUAAAAAGCAUGCCGCAACGGUUUUUUUGUACUAUAAAAUGACGAAGUGAACCUCCUAUAAGAUGCUUCUCAAUCUGAUCAUCUCGCCAACAUCACAAAGCUUGAUGAUACUUGGUCACUUCACUGAGUUUUAGAAGCUGCUGCACAGAAAAGCUGAAGCAUUCCUUUCAAAUGACUACUAUGACUCUAUGAGUCACACCUUGCAUGGAUGGACUUGGCUUCAUUUGAAGCUUUCAUCGAGAUGAUAAAGCCACAGCUGAUCUGAAACUCUUUUGGUGACAAUCUAAAGUUAUUGGAAAACAAUCUUUCGCUUGACAGUGUAUACAAAUCAAAAGAUGUGCUGUUACUCCUAUUCGUGUCUUUCAGUGACAAGAACUGGUUGUUGGUCGGAUUUCACUGAGAAUAAACAAAGAUUUGAGAGCAGAAGUUCAAACUGAAGAUUAGCAGCUGCGUAAGAGCCAUGGGAGUCUUCGGAACACUGGUGGAAAAGGUUACCAUCUCACUCUAUCAUUCGUGAUUAAAAAUAAUUUCUUGAAUGGAAAAGGAGAAGAUGCUGUCAUCGUUGGUAAUGUUUAGGUAGAUUUGGCCGUAUGUUUCAUUUAUUUUUUACUACAGGACAGAUCAAUGUAUAUUCAUGACUUAAUUAAAAUGAACUUGAGUACUGCGACCUUGAGGACGCAUGCAUAGCUGCAUAUCCAUGUUUUUAGCCAGAUAGUUCAGCUUUAAACCUUUCUGGAACUUGGUCGUUUUAAUGGGAGUCUUCAGAACACUGGUGGAAAAGGUUACCAUCUCACUCUGCCAUUCGUGAUUAAAAAUAAUUUCUUGAAUGGAAAAGGAGAAGAUGCUGGCAUUGUUGGUAAUGUUUAGGUAGAUUUGGCCGUAUAUUUCAUUUAUUUUUUACUACAGGACAGAUCAAUAUAUAUUCAUGACUUAAUUAAGAUGAACUUGAGUACUGCGACCUUGAGGACACAUGCAUAGCUGCAUAUCCAUGUUUUUAGCCAGAUAGUUCAGCUUUAAGCCUUUCUGGAACUUGGUCGUUUUAAUGUUUUAGUCACUACACCAAUAUCGCUCUUUCGUAUACAUUAACGUAAGAACAUCGUUAAUUUCUAAUUGGUUUGGCAUUAUAGAACACACGACAUAAUAUAUUGAAGAUAUGAGUUUACACACAAAACACUAAAAGAGAUUGAAAAGAUAAAGUUUGAGAACACCGAGAAGCCAUAAAAUGAAAAAGAAGAGAAAAACAUUAGUAGAUGGAGUAAGCUUCUUACAACUACAAUAAAUUAAUUCUUCUGGUAUACCAAGUGCUGCUUUUAUAUUUUAAUUUUUUUCGAAAGAGCGUCUAUGUUUAUGUUUCAUAGUUUCUUACAAAAUAUAAAAAAAUGAUUUUUCAUUCAGCUUUCUAUAAACCAAACUUUCCACCAUGAAAAAGAAAAAAAUAAUAAAUAACUACAAUAAUGAUUAAAAUACAUAUUAUUUCUAAUUCAGUUUUUCUUCUAUAUUGAGAAAGUGUCAACGGCAGUAUACGAUUGUGAUUUUUUUCUAUUAACUAUAUAAACACAUCACUACCUGAAUAAAAUAAUCACUACAUGAAUACAAUAAUAAUUCUUCUGGUAUGCCAAAUGCUGCUUUUAAAUUUUAAUUUUUUCGAUAGAGCAUCUACUUUUAUGUUUCAUAGUUUCUUACAAAAUAUAUUUAAAAAAAAAGAUUAUUUAUCCAGCUUCCUGUAAACCAAACUUUCCACCAUGGAAAAGAAAAAAAAUAAGAAAUAACUAUAAUAAUGAUUAAAAUACAUAUUAUUUCUAAUUUAGUUUUUCUUCUAAGCGACAGUAUACGAUUGUGAUUUUUUCCUAUUAACCAUGUAAACACAUCACUACGUGAAUAAAAUAAUUAAAAUGUGCAUUGUGAGACCAAAUAUUUAACAAUAAUUUUUUUUACAAACUACAUCAACAUAAAUUCAAAGCUCAACUUAUAAAAUAAAUAUCCCGCCGGGAAAAUAUUCUACUCCCAAAAAACUUUAAAACCAUAACAUAAAAUACAUGCAAAUAAUCGUAAACAAUAAUAUAAUAAUAUAAAUCACAAGAAAAUUAGAUUCCGCGCGUAGCGCGGACCGACCCUAGUAAUAUAUAAUAUAGAUGUAUAGUGUAAUUAUCUGACAGAAUAACAUUAAACGUUAAAAU